UACAGAGGUCUCAAGCGUUGUUCGGAUUUACUGGGCGUAAAGGGCGCGUAGGCGGCAAUUCAAGUCAUCUGUGAAAUCUCCGGGCUUAACUCGGAACGGUCAGAUGAUACUGCUUUGCUAGAGUGCGGAAGGGGCAAUCGGAAUUCUUGGUGUAGCGGUGAAAUGCGUAGAUAUCAAGAGGAACACCUGAGGUGAAGACGGGUUGCUGGGCCGACACUGACGCUGAUGCGCGAAAGCCAGGGGAGCAAACGGG
rnacentral:rRNA from 1 species